UACGAAGGGGGCUAGCGUUGCUCGGAAUCACUGGGCGUAAAGGGUGCGUAGGCGGGUCUUUAAGUCAGGGGUGAAAUCCCGGAGCUCAACUCCAGAACUGCCUUUGAUACUGAAGAUCUUGAGUUCGGGAGAGGUGAGUGGAACUGCGAGUGUAGAGGUGAAAUUCGUAGAUAUUCGCAAGAACACCAGUGGCGAAGGCGGCUCACUGGCCCGAUACUGACGCUGAGGCACGGAAGCGUGGGGAGCAAACAGG
rnacentral:rRNA from 1 species